CCUACGGGUGACAGCAGUGGGGAAUAUUGGGCAAUGGGCGCAAGCCUGACCCAGCAACGCCGCGUGAAGGAAGAAGGCUUUCGGGUUGUAAACUUCUUUUGGCAGGGACGAAGCAAGUGACGGUACCUGACGAAUAAGCCACGGCUAACUACGUGCCAGCAGCCGCGGUAAUACGUAGGUGGCAAGCGUUAUCCGGAUUUACUGGGUGUAAAGGGCGUGUAGGCGGGACUGCAAGUCAGAUGUGAAAACCACGGGCUCAACCUGUGGCCUGCAUUUGAAACUGUAGUUCUUGAGUGCUGGAGAGGCAGGCGGAAUUCCUAGUGUAGCGGUGAAAUGCGUAGAUAUUAGGAGGAACACCAGUGGCGAAGGCGGUCUGCUGGACAGCGACUGACGCUGAGGCGCGAAAGCGUGGGGAGCAAACAGGAUUAGAUACCCGUGUAGUC
rnacentral:rRNA from 1 species